AGAUGUUCCAGUGGCUUUGACCGCUACCGCCAGGAGUGGCUGGCCUACGGCUGUGCCCAGGAGGCUGAGGGCAGGACAUGCGAGGACUUCCAGGACGAGGACCACUACUCUGCCUCCCCCGAUAGCUCCUUCAGCCCCUUUGACCGAGACCUGUCCACCACCUCCUCCUCCCUCUCCAUUGACAGCCUCACCACGGAAGAUGACACCAAGUUGAAUCCCUAUGCAGGAGAAGACGG